AAGAGAUACUUGCACCCAGCUCGCCAUCCUUCUGGACCUCCUGCUUAUCUGCCGUUGAACGCGUCCUACAUCUGAGCUGCCGCUGUCCCUGCUGCAGGCGCCCGCUGGGAUCCCGUCCCCUCGCCGGAAAGCAGCUGAGCUUUGCACCUUGUGGCGCGGCCGAUGCGCUCCCAUCCAUCCCCGCGCCCCGCGGUACCAGGCUGUACUUCCCUCACAAGACACAGACAGGCUGUAAGGAAGGUGUAUUUCUGACAGACACAGUGAAGUUACCUGUGUGUAAUUCUGGAUGAAUCCACCGAAGGCAGCUAUGGACCGUGCAGCGCACACAGGCUCCGUGGUGCUCAGCCCCAGACCCUGGUGUGUGGGAGCACCUCCACUUCUCUACACAAAGACGCUCUCGCUGUUCCACGGCCUCCAUCUGCAGAGGCGAAGACCCGCCUGGACUCACCCCACGCAAGGU